rnacentral:tRNA from 1 species
AAUGAAAUGCCUGAUUAAAAGGAUUAUUUUGAUAAACUAAUUUAUAAAAAUAAAAGUUUUUCUUUCAUUA